UUGCAGAGGAAGUUUCUCUGGCAGUCAGCCUGCUCCCUCUACUUGUCUCUGUUGGUGGAGACCGAACACAAAGUGCAGUGACUCAGAAGCCUUUGAGAGGGUGACUGGGGGCCUGGCCACCGCAAGGCACAGAGGCAGUGAGAUGGAUCGACCCAAAACGACAGUGUGCUGGGGAAAGAAGAAAUCAAGGCAGAAGGAAGAAGAAAAUGAACUCCAAGAAAUUCUGCCCAGUGAGCCUCAACAGCCCAAAGACCGUUUUUCAAAAUUCAGUGGGUGGCUUAUGAAAGUCCCCAGGAAAAGAAAACCAGACACUGCUAUUCAUCAGAAAGAAACUCCCAAAGACUUCCAAAAGUUGGUACAGAAGGGGCAGUUCCUGGAAGCCUGCCAGAGCAUCUCGGAGUUGUCACAGGAAGGGCAGGACUGUGGUCUCCAGUACAAGGUUGUGGCUGAGAGCAUGUGGCAGGUCAUCAAGGAGGCUCUGGGAGGCAUUGGGUACAGCCAGAAGCUGGAGCUAAAGCUCCAGGCAGUGGUGGCCACUGUGGAGUGGGUGGAGGACAACCCCCAGAGCUGGGAGGCCAGCGCCCUCGAGGAUGGUGGAGUUGCUUUCUGGGGAAGUCAUCUGGAGAGGCUCCUGAGAACAGAUGCUGAGGACCAAUUGCCCACUAUGAAGCCAAGCACCCAGCUGCGCCCGUACCUGAAGGAGCUGGACAAAGCUGUGGGACACAGCCUAGGGUCCCAGAGGGCAGGCCGGAUGGGGGACCCCCUCUGGGAAAUCUACAGGACGUGUUUCCAGGAGGUCCUCCUCAGCCGCCUCUCCGAGCUCCCUUCCUCCUACAGUCACGACAGGGAAGCCUACUUUGAGCUGUACAACUGGGGCAAGACGACCUUGUUUGGGCAGCUGGGCAGGGAGAUGCUUCAGAGAGUAGGUCCCACCUCCCAGAAGUCCAUGGCCGGGAACCUCUUGGACUCAAUGAUGUUCAUUACCUGGAUGUUCCAAAUGCAGGAGAAGCUGGUGGGGCUGAUCCAGGAGGAGUUGAAAAAGUGUCUAGAAAAUGUUCUGAUCUGUGAUCAGAAAAAGUGGACCGAGUCUGCCUCCUCAGUGUUCCUUGAAAUCUACCAGCUACUGAAAGAAGCUGUAGAUGCAGUCCGACACAUUGGGCCAUCCGUCACCAGACAGGUUCAAGCCAUGGUUCUGGAAACAUUUUCAAAGUUUCUGGAAAGCUACAAGGAUAAGGCUGAAGUCUUCAUCCAGCAGAACACCAGUGACCACACCUUUCCCGAGCUGCAUGUGCUGGAAAACUGCUGCAUCCUCAGGAAGACAUGGUGGUGGCUGAGCAGGGCGCACGUUCCCUGGGCACGCUUGGACCCAGCUGUGCAAGGUGCCAUCAAAGUCAUUGAGGACCAUGGCCGGGACCACCUCCUGCCUCGAGUCAGAGCCCUGUGCCAGAGUCUGCUGAGUUGUCACUUCGGAGAGAAGAACAAGGAUCUGGUCCAAUCUCUGCGGUCCCUGUGGCAGAGCCUGGAGCACUGCCCCAACAUGCACCCUACUCCCACAUACGAGAGCCUUGUGAGGAGUCUGAAUAUGGUGGUCUUUGGGGAGUACGUCCAGGCCCUGGCUGCUUAUCUCAGGAGGCUGGUGCCCAGGACUUCGGGGCACCUCCGUGCUCAGGUGGAAACGGACAUCUGGAAGCUGGGCACCACCUUUAGGGAGCACAGGGGCCCAGCUUUGGACGAUCUACAGGAGUACAUCCUCCAGCUCAGUGAGAGCAGAGACAGACAGACUGUGGAUCAGUGGCUGGCCUCCUUCAGUGACAGUUUCCCUGGUUAUCUGAGCAGACAGGGCAGAUCCACGGCUGUGGAGGAGGAGACUGCGAUCAGGGGACGCUCCUCAUUCUGCUGCAGACUUCUCCAGAACUUAAGGGCCUGCUGGCACCGUUGCUGCCCUAGCAGACGUGGAUGUGAGCUCUAG
rnacentral:lncRNA from 1 species